rnacentral:rRNA from 1 species
GACACGCUGGCGGCGUGGAUUAGGCAUGCAAGUCGAACGGUAGGAUCCUUUCGGGGAUCUGAGAGUGGCGAACGGGUGAGUAACACGUAGGUGAUCUACCCUCAAGACGGGGACAACCCAGGGAAACUUGGGCUAAUACCGGAUGUGAGCUAUCGCGAGAUAGUUUGAAAGGUGGCUUCGGCUGCCGCUUGAGGAUGAGCCUGCGUCCUAUUAGCUAGUUGGUGAGGUAACGGCUCACCGAGGCAGUGAUAGGUAGGCGGCCUUAACGGGUGGUCGCCCACACUGGGAUUGAGAUACGGCCCAGACUCCUACGGGAGGCAGCAGUCGAGAAUAGUCUACAAUGGUCGAAAGACUGAUAGUGCGACGCCGCGUGAACGAAGAAGCCCUUCGGGGUGUAAAGUUCUUUUAUAUGUGAGCAGUGACACCCAUAUUAAUAGUAUGGGUGUAGAGAUAUUAGCAUAUGAAUAAGCAACGGCUAACUCCGUG